rnacentral:snoRNA from 1 species
CUGGAAUGAUGAGAUUCCACUUCAUGGUCCGUGUUUCUGACACACAUGAUUGGGUGGAAGUUCUGACUGG